AGGGAGCUACAAUUUGAUUUUUAUGGGGGGGGGGCUAGGAUGAAAUUUGAAAAAAAUAGGCAGGACAGGAGUUUUGAGUAAAAAAAAAGGCAGGAUGAGACACUUGCAAAAAAAAAAGUCAGGACGACAAUUUAGGUAAAAAAAAAGUGAGGAUAAACUAAAAAAAAGGCAGGACCGUACAGAGUGAAAAAUAAAAAGGCAGGACAGAGAUUACAACUAAAAAAAAAUGCAGGACAAAAUUUUUCAUCCUAGCCCCCCAUAAAAAUCAAAUGGUAGCUCC
rnacentral:lncRNA from 1 species